AUUGAACGCUGGCGGCAGGCCUAACACAUGCAAGUCGAGCGGAUGAAGGGAGCUUGCUCCUGGAUUCAGCGGCGGACGGGUGAGUAAUGCCUAGGAAUCUGCCUGGUAGUGGGGGAUAACGUCCGGAAACGGGCGCUAAUACCGCAUACGUCCUGAGGGAGAAAGUGGGGGAUCUUCGGACCUCACGCUAUCAGAUGAGCCUAGGUCGGAUUAGCUAGUUGGUGGGGUAAAGGCCUACCAAGGCGACGAUCCGUAACUGGUCUGAGAGGAUGAUCAGUCACACUGGAACUGAGACACGGUCCAGACUCCUACGGGAGGCAGCAGUGGGGAAUAUUGGACAAUGGGCGAAAGCCUGAUCCAGCCAUGCCGCGUGUGUGAAGAAGGUCUUCGGAUUGUAAAGCACUUUAAGUUGGGAGGAAGGGCAGUAAGUUAAUACCUUGCUGUUUUGACGUUACCAACAGAAUAAGCACCGGCGAACUUCGG
rnacentral:rRNA from 1 species